GAUGAAGAACGUAGCGAAAUGCGAUAAGUAAUGCGAAUUGCAGAAUUCAGUGAAUCAUCGAAUCUUUGAACGCACAUUGCGCCCGCCAGUAUUCUGGCGGGCAUGCCUGUCUGAGCGUCGUUUCGACCCUCGCGCCCGGCUUCUGUCGGGGGCGGUUUUGGGGAUCGGCCACACCCUUCAGUGGGAGGCCGGCCCCUAAAUUCAGUGGCGACCACGCUGUAGCCUCCCCUGCGUAGUACUAAAACCACCUCGCAGGCGGAGAGCGGUGAGGCCCGCCGUAAAACCCCCCAACUUUUACAAGGUCGACCUCAGAUCAGGUAGGAAUACCCGCUGAACUUAAGCAUAUCAAUAAGCGGAGGA
rnacentral:misc_RNA from 1 species